rnacentral:rRNA from 1 species
GACGAACGCUGGCGGCGUGCCUAACACAUGCAAGUCGAACGAGGUCCAAGGGAGCUUGCUCCCUGACGACCUAGUGGCGAACGGGUGAGUAACACGUGAGAAACCUGCCUCGGAGUGGGGAAUAACUCGGGGAAACUCGAGCUAAUACCGCAUACCUUCACAUGAUCGCAUGGUCGAGUGAAGAAAGAAUUUCGCUCUGAGAGGGUCUCGCGGCCUAUCAGCUUGUUGGUGGGGUAACGGCCUACCAAGGCAACGACGGGUAGCUGGUUUGAGAGAACGAUCAGCCACACUGGGACUGAGACACGGCCCAGGCGCCUACGGGAGGCAGCAGUGGGGAAUCUUGCGCAAUGGGCGAAAGCCUGACGCAGCAACGCCGCGUGCGGGAUGACGGCCUUCGUGGUUGUAAACCGCUUUCAGCAGGGACGAAAAUGACGGUACCUGCAGAAGAAGCCCCGGCUAACUACGAGCCAGCAGCCGCAGUAACAC